CUCUUUCAGAUGAGAGGCACUUGAGCCCUGCUCAGCUAUGAGAAUAAGAGAGGGGAAUUAAUUCUAAUUGAAUACACUUGUUCUCUCAUAGCUGUUGUUCCCCACCAGAACCAAAUGAGCGCAAGAUCUGACAAAGAAAAAAAAGGUUCAUCUUUUAUUCUCCCAAACACUUUCAUUUAAAUCAAGAGGGUGGGAUGUGGUUAUUGCUGUGCUUUUAGACAGAAUCAACGGUUUCUGGGUCUGAGAUAUUGCAUAUACCCUCUCAGUCCCUGUAUCCUGAGAUGGAGUCACCUGAGAAUCCACAGCAAGUCCUAACCAGGGAUGGGUCUGCGUGGUUAAGGAAGGUUGGCUUCAGAACUGGGCCAGGGGCACUGCUUUGCUUUUGCUGUUUUGAUCAGCUCUCUGCCUGUAGGAGACAAGGAAAACCAAUGGGAACAGUUGGGG
rnacentral:lncRNA from 1 species